rnacentral:rRNA from 1 species
AUUGAACGCUGGCGGCAGGCCUAACACAUGCAAGUCGAGCGGAGGAAGGGAGCCUGCCCCUGGAUUCAGCGGUGGACGGGUGGGUCAUGCCUAGGAAUUCGCAUGGUAGUGGGGGAUAACGUCCGGAAACGGGCGGUACUACUGCAUAGGUAGUGAGGUAGGAAGAGGGGGGUCUUCGGAUCUCACGCUUUCAGAUGAGGGUAGGUUGGAUUGGCUAGGUGGAGGGGUAACGGCCUACCAAGGCGAAUAUCCUUAACUGGUCUGAGAGGAUGGCCAGUCACACUGUAUCUGAGACACGGUCGAGACUCCUACAGGAGGCAGCGGUGCGGAAUAUUGGACGAGGGGCGAGUGCCGGAUCCAGCCAUGCGGCGUAUGUGAAGAAGGUCUUCGGAUGGGAAAGCACUUUAAGUUGUGGGGUAGGGAAGUAAUUUAAUACCUUACUGUUUUGACGUUACCAGCAGAAGAAGCACCGGCUAACUUCGUG